AGUGAACGCUGGCGGUAGGCCUAACACAUGCAAGUCGAACGGCAGCACAGUAAGAGCUUGCUCUUACGGGUGGCGAGUGGCGGACGGGUGAGGAAUACAUCGGAAUCUACUUUUUCGUGGGGGAUAACGUAGGGAAACUUACGCUAAUACCGCAUACGACCUACGGGUGAAAGCAGGGGAUCUUCGGACCUUGCGCGAUUGAAUGAGCCGAUGUCGGAUUAGCUAGUUGGCGGGGUAAAGGCCCACCAAGGCGACGAUCCGUAGCUGGUCUGAGAGGAUGAUCAGCCACACUGGAACUGAGACACGGUCCAGACUCCUACGGGAGGCAGAAGUGGGGAAUAUUGGACAAUGGGCGCAAGCCUGAUCCAGCCAUACCGCGUGGGUGAAGAAGGCCUUCGGGUUGUAAAGCCCUUUUGUUGGGAAAGAAAAGCAGCAGGUUAAUACCCCGCUGUUCUGACGGUACCCAAAGAAUAAACACCGGCGAACUUCGU
rnacentral:rRNA from 1 species